GAGGAGGACAGAAAUUGUGCACAAAGAGCAAAAAGAAAGAGGAAAAUAAGAAAUAAGCUUUGAGGUUUCUCAAAAGAAGCAAAGCAAAUGGCGCCAUCAGCAUCAGCUCCAACAAGAGAAGAAGAAGAGGAAGAACAACAGCAACUCGAAGAAGAACGUUUUGUCCCUUCGCAUCAUCCUUCCGCACCGCCCGAUGAGUUAUUUGAUAUUUCGACAACAGUUGAUCCGAGUUACGUAAUUUCAUUGAUAAGGAAACUUCUCCCACUUGAUGCAAGAAAUGGUGAUAAUACUGAAAUUCGGGGUUCAAAUUGUAAUGAUGAAGUUGUAAGUUCGUCAAAUGAUAAGUGUAAGGGCAUGGAGAUUGUUGAUGAUUUUAGUAAAUCUGAUUUUCAAGGAGAAGAUGAAGAAGAUUCGGGCCGCGGAGGGGAAAAUGCUCGUGUAUCAGCUGGGGAGGAGGUUUGGGAGGAGUGUGGUUGUGUUCUGUGGGAUCUUGCUGCAAAUCAAACUCAUGCUGAGCUCAUGGUGCAAAACUUAAUACUCGAAGUGCUUUUAGCAAAUCUUAUGGUUACCCAAUCUGUUCGUGUCACGGAGAUUUGUCUUGGAAUCAUGGGAAAUUUAGCCUGCCAUGAAGUUCCCAUGAAGCAUAUAGUUUCUACAAAUGGACUAAUUUCUGUGAUAGUAGAUCAAUUGUUUUUAGAUGACACCCAAUGUCUAGGUGAAGCUUUCCGGCUGUUAAGUUUGGGUCUUCAAGGUAGUGAAUGCAGAAUAUGGGCAGAGGCAUUGCAGUCUGAACAUAUUUUAAGCCGCAUUUUAUGGGUCACUGAGAAUACUUUAAAUCCACAGCUUAUUGAAAAGAGUGUUGGACUAUUAUUAGCCAUGUUAGAAAGUCAGAAGGAAGUUGAGCAUAUUCUUCUCUUGCCUUUGAUGAAACUUGGUUUAGCAACUGUAUUAGUUAAUCUUUUGGCUUUUGAGAUGAGCAAACUGACAAAUGAAAGAAUACCUGAAAGGUACUCUGUUCUUGAUGUUAUUCUUCGUGCGCUUGAAGCCCUCUGUGUUAUAGAUGGAUAUUCUCAGGAAAUCUGCUCAAAUAAAGAAUUUUUCCAACUAGUCUGUGACUUGAUAAAAUUCCCUGAUAAAGUUGAGGUGUCCAACUCCUGUGUGACUGCUGGAGUUAUAAUUGCAAAUAUUCUGUCUGUUGUAUCUGAUCUAGCUUCAGACUUAUCACAGGAUUUGCCUUUCUUGCAGGGACUGUUUGACAUUUUCCCAUUUACUUCAGAUGAAUUAGAAGCACGAUGUGCACUCUGGAGCAUUAUUGCAAGGUUACUAGUCCGAGUCCAGGAAGAUGAGAUGAGUGCCUCUAGUCUGCGUCAAUAUGUGUUCAUUCUAUCGAGCAAAGCUGAUCUGAUAGAAGAUGAUCUUUUUGAUCACCAAUUUGAUGAGAACAAGGAAAAUGAGAGCUUGGCCACCUGUGGUAGAAUAUCAAAUGCCAGAACUUUUGCUCUUAGAAGGAUAAUCAGCAUAUUAAACAAGUGGAAUUCUUUAAAGGAUUCUGUUGAGGAGAAGCAUGUGAUGGAGGAACAUGCAAAUGCUGAAAAUAUUCAUAGAUUAUUGGAUUGCUGUCACAAAUACACUGUGUUCAAGUAAAAGUUUGGCUAUAAUCCCACUUAUCAGCAUAGAUGAUUUCUUAAUCGGGUAGUUAGGCCUGAUCUGGUGCUGAAUAAUCAUUCUUGGGGCAAUGUUGCAUGAACAAUCUCACCUCAUCCUUGUUCCUUCAUAAUGAAUAUAUGCUAUCUAGACUGUCUAGUUCGAAUUUGAGGUUCUGAAUGACAGUGGAGAAACUUCAGUUUGGGAACAUUGCUUCACCGGAGAAUAUGAUAUCCUUGUAUUCCUGGAGAAAGAAGGAAUAUGGCCACGAGUGCAAACGCUGCUGGGAACAAUCAUUCCCUUCUAUGCUAAUUCUAUAGACCGAGUCCUUGCAACCGUCUGCUUCCUCCAGAAAUAUGUCAUCUUGGAAUCAACAACUUCAUGGUCCCUGAGAGUUGGAAGGCAUCUUGUGGGUAAUAUUUCGCUGCCAACCGUUUAUGCCAUUUAAGGGAAGGAUUGUGUUUUCACAUUAAAAGAUUCGAUGAUCUAUACCAAACUAGUUUACUUUACUAUUAAAGGGGACGCAAAUUAAAAAACAAACCUAAAUCAGCUAAAUCCACUUGCUUCUUGCACGUUAUCCUCUA